UAUGCAGCAUAGCCAGCAAGCAUAUGAUGACUUGGAGCAACAUUGCUUUUUUACAAGACAUGAACAGAAACUGAGCAGUUCAUUGUCCCUCCCUUGGAGCUCAUGUGAGAGAAAACAAAUACUAACACUUCACUCUCACUCUCACUUUCUUUCUAAACACAAUCUACGACACAGGACUGUAAAUGUAUCAAUGGGACUAGAGAUGGAUUCGGACUUAGAGAAGAACUGCACAUUAGGUCUGAGUCCUAACACUGUUCUUCCAUCUCCUCGACAAUGUCCAAACAUUGAAAAGAGAUAUCCAAAAGGAAAACCAGGUCAUAAAGAUGAUUUAUUGAGGGCAAAGGAGGCAUUUACUGAAAUCAGCUUUCGUCGCUACCGCAGUGCUUCUUGUAAGAACAUUCAGUCUAGACCUGUUGGGCCAGAAGGUAAUGCUGAGCUGAAGCGAGGUUCCAUAUACCAAAGCUCCAAAGAGGUAAGGAAAAUGAAAAAAACAGGUUCUGUCGAGGGAAGGAGAAAAAUUGAAUUAUCGCGUAGUAGUGACAGCUCUUUUUCCUUCAGAAUUGUCGAUUCCCUUUGUAACUCAGAAGAGGAAAGCUCACAAGAAAGAAAUCCAGUGAUGUCCGGUGGCUCAAACUUGAAAUCAGCAUCCAUUACCAAACCAUGCUUAGAAACAUGCUCAUCAGAUGACUUCAUUGAAAUCUGUCUAAGUUCAAACAAGAGAGGAAAACAGUCUGUGGAAACUGUAGGGACAGAUAGCAAGAGGGACAUUAGUUUUGGAUGUGAACCUGUUGUCAGUGCUUUAGAUGACGGUAAUGACCUUGUUGGAAAAGACACAGUUAGCAAUCUGCAUAAGUCACACUCUCCUAAGGUCGAAGUGCCUCAUUCACCCUCUUCAUCAGAAAGUGAUUGGUUCUCCAAAGCCAGCUCAAGGGCCAGAUUUAGCCCAAUUAGAAAGAUGUUUGAUCCAUUCAUGAAAUCAAAGUCUCUGAGAAGUCCUUUGGGUUAUGUAGCAGAAGCUGAUAAUGUCAAAACUAUUGGGAUGGAAAAUAUGAGAAGAAAUAGGACAUUUAGAAAAUCUUUGUUACAUGACUUCUCGCAUUCACCUCAGAAUUCAGAAUUGGAUUCCCAGUUUAUCAAGAAAGAUAGCAUUCAGUCACCAGUGGCAAGCUCACCAGUUCACCUACAUGGUUGUCUGAAGGUGGGAGUAAAACAGGGGGUACCAUUUUUUGAGUUCUCAAUGAAUCAACCAGAAGAUGUUUUUCUUGCGAAAACAUGGAAGGCAGAUAAUGCUUUCAAUUGGGUGUAUACCUUUCACUCUAUUGGCAAUAGAAAGAAGAGCAAUGCCAGUAUAUGGGGGUUGAGUGAUAGUAGCAAAGAUUCUUCAAUUGUUGCGCAGAUGCAAGUUUCCUGUUGUUUGUGCUCAGAAAUUAAAGAUGGUGGGGUUCUUGACAACUCCAUGGUUACAGAGUUUGUUUUGUAUGAUAUUGCACAUGCAAGACAACAUGUUUCUGUCCUAGGAUCCUCUGGGUUUGAUAAAACCUCUACUUGUUCUAGUCCAGGCUUGGCUGUGGGAUGUUAUGAAUCAGAUGAUGGCUUUAAUUUGGUGAAGCUUAGAGAUCACUUAAAUCUUGCUUCUGACAGUGAUGAAUUUGAAUUGCCAAGUAGAUCAACUCCACGGCUACUUGCUGAUUUGCAUCGGAACCUUGAAAUUGCAGCCAUAGUUAUUCAAGUACCAUUUAAGAAGAGAGAGAGCUUAAAAUACAGAAGAGGGGAUAAAAUAGGUGAUGUGAGGCAUUUGAACGUACUCAAUGUCUCUACGGUUGAGGAAAGUAAAAGCAACAUACAAGAUAGCAGGAGUCAAGAAAAAGUGAAGGUGGUUAUUCCAACUGGAAACCAUGGCAUACCUAGUUCUGAGACCCAGGGUCCUUCAUCACUACUGGAUAGGUGGAGGAUGGGUGGAGGCUGUGAUUGUGGUGGCUGGGACAUGGCCUGUCCCCUUGUAGUUUUUGGCAAUCCCAGUAUAAAUUGUUCUGAAGAUCAACCCCUGGUGGACAGUGAGCGGCCUUUUGAACUGUUUCUUCAGGGUGCCAAAGAGAUUACACCAGCAUUGACCAUGACAGCCAUUGAGGGAGGGUAUGCAGUUGAUUUCCAUGCAAAGUUAUCCACAUUACAAGCAUUUUCCAUUUGUGUUGCUAUAUUGCAUGGUACAGAAACUUCCGCUGGUGCUGGGGAGGCACAAAGCAAACAUUUGUCCCACUGCAAUUCACUAAAAGUGCUUAUUGAGGAGGAAGUGAAAUUCUUAAUAGAAUCGGUCACGGGGGAGGAGAAGAAAGUCAGCAAGAAGGUGGAAGCAAUCCCACCAUCUUAUGUAAUUAACCCUCCGUUCUCUCCAAUUGCUCGCGUUUAGACUUGAAACAACUGGCUUGUUGAAUUUAAAAUGGCCUCCCCGUAGAACCUGUUGUGGUUUUUGGAGUGGCUGUCGCUGAAAGCAAGUGAAGGGGUGGAAAUGUUAGCUCUAAAAAUGGAGAAGGGUCCAACAUUCAGCCAUUUCAAUCGAGGGUUACUGUACAGGGAUAUCUAUAUUCAAUGGCACAGAUCCACAUCUUACUCGUACUUCUGCCAACUGUGAGAUAUCCACGCUGUGUUCUCAGAUUGUUUGUUGACUCGUCUGCCAGAUUUAACUGUUGCACUCACAGGACAUGUAAAAACUUUGUGGUGACCACUGCGCGGUACUUCUCAGGAGUCAGAACCAACUCUGUCAGUCUGUCUGCAGUGCAGACUUCAUCGUGUUGGAAUCACCAUGACUCAUUCCAGUAUAUUCAAGCACCGAAUGAAUGGCCCCAAGAUUGCUGAUGUACCCAGUUCCAUUAUCAUGUUGUAAAUGCCAGUGAAGCUGUGCAUUCAUCAAAGCUCCAUAGAUUCACUUCAAAGGAAAAAUGUUCCCAUGCGGAAAUGGACUUUUUGUCUUUUUCUCCCACCUCAUUGAAAGUGAAUGAUUGGAGUUAUUUAAAGACUGAAGACUAGUGCUGCUGAGAAUACAUGCAUACAUCAUGACACUGAAAAUCCUUAUUGUUUUGAGUCCUUUCCCUCCUGAAUACAGUGCAGGAUUACAAUCUAAAGGUUAUAAUUAGUGCAACCAUAUUUAAUGGCCAUGAUUCAAUGGCACCUAUGGGAGGUCAUUACAAAAGAUCCCAAUGUUCGAGAAUGGAGGAACGUGGGAACGUGUAAGCCUUAGCAAAAUAAAUGAGACGCCAUUGCCGGGGAUCAAACC